UACGAAGGGGGCUAGCGUUGUUCGGAAUCACUGGGCGUAAAGCGCACGUAGCGGAUGUGCCAGUCAGGGGUGAAAUCCCAGAGCUCAACUCUGGAACUGCCUUUGAUACUGGGUAUCUUGAGUAUGGAAGAGGUAAGUGGAAUUGCGAGUGUAGAGGUGAAAUUCGUAGAUAUUCGCAGGAACACCAGUGGCGAAGGCGGCUUACUGGUCCAUAACUGACGCUGAGGUGCGAAAGCGUGGGGAGCAACAGGAUAGAUA
rnacentral:rRNA from 1 species